rnacentral:lncRNA from 1 species
AGAAGCUGCUGCGCGGAAGUCGGCCAUGGACUGGAAAGAAGUUCUUCGUCGGCGCCUAGCGACGCCCAACACCUGUCCAAACAAAAUUUACCUUGUAUUUUCAGCUGCCUGCUGAAGAUGAAGUCUUACUACAGAAAUUAAGAGAGGAAUCAAGAGCUGUCUUUCUACAAAGAAAAAGCAGAGAACUGUUAGAUAAUGAAGAAUUACAGAACUUAUGGUUUUUGCUGGACAAACACCAGACACCACCUAUGAUUGGAGAGGAAGCGAUGAUCAAUUACGAAAACUUUUUGAAGGUUGGUGAAAAGGCUGGAGCAAAGUGCAAGCAAUUUUUCACAGCAAAAGUCUUUGCUAAACUCCUUCAUACAGAUUCAUAUGGAAGAAUUUCCAUCAUGCAGUUCUUUAAUUAUGUCAUGAGAAAAGUUUGGCUUCAUCAAACAAGAAUAGGACUCAGUUUAUAUGAUGUCGCUGGGCAGGGGUACCUUCGGGAAUCUG